GAUGAACGCUGGCGGCGUGCCUAAUACAUGCAAGUCGAGCGAACGGACGAGAAGCUUGCUUUUCUGAUGUUAGCGGCGGACGGGUGAGUAACACGUGGAUAACCUACCUAUAAGACUGGGAUAACUUCGGGAAACCGGAGCUAAUACCGGAUAAUAUUUUGAACCGCAUGGUUCAAAAGUGAAAGACGGUCUUGCUGUCACUUAUAGAUGGAUCCGCGCUGCAUUAGCUAGUUGGUAAGGUAACGGCUUACCAAGGCAACGAUGCAUAGCCGACCUGAGAGGGGGUUGGGCCACAGUGAACGGGAAAGCCGGCCCGGGCACUAAGGGAGGGCGCAGGAGGGAAUGUUACGCAAAGGGGGGAAAGCUGGCGGAAGCACCGCGCGGGGGGGGUAGAGGUGUUGGGGUAGGAAAAACGUUUUUUUAGGGGAAAACCAAUGUGGAAAGAAACGUGGCCCAAGUGAAGGUACCUAAACAAGAAGCCCCGGCCAAAUACGUG
rnacentral:rRNA from 1 species